rnacentral:tRNA from 1 species
UUAUAAUUGGUGUAUGGGCACAAAAGUUUUUGAUACUUUUAGAAAUAGUUAAAUUCUAUUAAUAUAAA